rnacentral:rRNA from 1 species
UACGUAGGGGGCAAGCGUUGUCCGGAAUCAUUGGGCGUAAAGCGCGUGUAGGCAGCCCAGUAAGUCCGCUCUGAAAGCCCGGGGCUCAACCCCGGGAGGCGGGUGGAUACUGCUGGGCUCGAGUUCGGAAGAGGCGAGUGGAAUUCCCGGUGUAGCGGUGAAAUGCGCAGAUAUCGGGAGGAACACCAAUGGCGAAGGCGGCUCACUGGCCCGGUACUGACGCUGAGGUGCGAAAGCGUGGGGAGCAAACAGG